rnacentral:rRNA from 1 species
UAGGGAAUCUUCGGCAAUGGGGGGAACCCUGACCGAGCAACGCCGCGUGAGUGAAGAAGGUUUUCGGAUCGUAAAGCUCUGUUGUUAAGGAAGAACGAGUGUGAGAAUGGAAAGUUCAUACUGUGACGGUACUUAACCAGAAAGGGACGGCUAACUACGUGCCAGCAGCCGCGGUAAUACGUAGGUCCCGAGCGUUGUCCGGAUUUAUUGGGCGUAAAGCGAGCGCAGGCGGUUAGAUAAGUCUGAAGUUAAAGGCAGUGGCUCAACCAUUGUAGGCUUUGGAAACUUUUUAACUUGAGUGCAGAAGUGGGUGGUGGAAUUCCAUGUGUAGCGGUGAAAUGCGUAGAUAUAUGGAGGAACACCGGUGGCGAAAGCGGCUCUCUGGUCUGUAACUGACGCUGAGGCUCGAAAGCGUGGGGAGCGAACAGG